UACGUAGGGUGCAAGCGUUGUCCGGAAUUAUUGGGCGUAAAGCGCGCGCAGGCGGUCCUUUAAGUCUGAUGUGAAAGCCCACGGCUCAACCGUGGAGGGUCAUUGGAAACUGGGGGACUUGAGUGCAGAAGAGGAGAGUGGAAUUCCACGUGUAGCGGUGAAAUGCGUAGAGAUGUGGAGGAACACCAGUGGCGAAGGCGACUCUCUGGUCUGUAACUGACGCUGAGGCGCGAAAGCGUGGGGAGCAAACAGG
rnacentral:rRNA from 1 species